ensembl:lncRNA
GCCGUUCUGGAUCUGGUUGGAGCUUUGUUUCCGUGAUACGCCGCUCCAUUCCUAACCAGGAUCAUUUCUGACGGCAACAGAUGCUGGAUGCAAAAGAAAGCUGCGUGAGCAGGAGGAAUAACUCAGUCACGAGGAAACCCCUUAGAGGAUGGACAGCCCCCUUAUUCUUAUAGGAUGAGCCAGCCAGGACCACUCGGCCAGAAGCAGUUUCGAUGGUGCCCACACGUGCCCCUGAGGGGAGAGGGCGACGAGGGGGUGCUUCAAGGACCUCAGAUUAUGAGGAUAAUUGUAACAGUUACACAGCAUGCACCCAAGUGAUGCAGGUCAAGAGGUUGAACUGGCCGUGCUCAGGAAGCUGCCUCUACAGCACGUGACCCCCCAGGCCCAGCCCUGCCUCUCCUGUCCCCGCAGGUAACAGCUCCUGUGAUUUGGGGAGAGCGUCUUUGCUUGUCUCUAU